GGGGUUAAGCUAGACUAGAUCAUGGUUCACUAGGAACCAUGGUUGGGUCCGUCCAACUUAGGGAGCAAGAAAAGGCUAGACCAUGGUUCACUAAGAACCAUGGUUGAGCCUUCCUAAACCGCCCUUGUGUAGGAGAGAAAAGAGGUCCAAGCAUUUGGCCAAGUGUGCACCAAUGUGAACACAAGGUGUGAACACAAAGGUGUGGACGGUUUUGAUUGGUUUCAUUUAACUCCACCCGGUUUGAAAAUGGUUCAUUUGGUUUAGUUAGGUUCAUUCAAUGUGAAUGGAACCUAGCUAAAUCAAAUCUAUGAAAAAUUAGGAGUUAAAUGAGUCCAAUAUGUAAAACCUUUAUCCUAAGACCACAUUUGGCUAAAAUGCUAGGAGCACACUUUAGUCUACUAAUGCCACUCCUAUGCCUACUUCUAAAAAGAAAAAGGUGCCUCCAAAAUACAAAGGCAAAACAAUCCUAUACAAAGUCUACUAUAUACAAUAUAUACAAUGGGACUACUCAAGAUACUACUAA